UGGAGCAGGAGACCAAAGCCAACAGUCAAACACAGCUGUUCUUUAGUCUUGCUGGCCCACCCCAGUUAUUUUUCUUUUCAGAGCAUAGGCUCAAUCAGGAGAAUGGAAAAACUGGUGGAGAAGUUCUGUGUAUGUCCCUUCCCCACUCUGGACAUUAUAAGAAGGAAAAAUAGGUUUCAGCUCUGCAAUCCCCUGGUAAGCAGAUCCACCGUGUCCAUCACGCCUCCUGGCUCACUGCGGCUGCCCGAUUGACGAGGGAAGUGUUUCAGGCAGGGGAUGGGGACACAGUCCUUUGUGGCAUCCCCCAAGGAGGCAGCUCAGAGCAGCAGCUGUCCCCAGAGCCUGUCACAGCCCCCUCGGACAAUGGGGGUGGCAGAAGCUGAUGGGACCUUGAACUCAGUUUUCUCCUUAGAAAGAUUUCCUAAAGUGAGCUCCUAGCCUGGAAUUGUCUGUUCCCAGUGGCCUUGCAAUGUGUUGCCUGGCUGGCUCUGAUGUGCAGGGAAGACCCAGCUGGCUGAGCACUUUCAGAACAAACAGAUAAGACAAUUUACUAUCCGAUUUUAUGAGAGCCAUUUACACUUUGCAGAAUUUUUUAAGCAGCAAGCCCUUAAGAAGCAUAUUCUGAGCAUGAUACCUAGGAGAAUUGCACACACAUUUCCUGUCAGCAGCCGGAGAACAGUGUCUAACACCUGCUAUGAAGAGCUUGAAAUAUAUUCUUAAAUGGCUUGAUUGCUCUGCAUUUCCCCUGAGAUGAGACGUUGUGGUGCAGUUUCUUUCCCGUGAGCAGACCGACUGCAGACGCCUCUCCUGGCUGAGCCUGUGCUCCUGCUUACACCCCCUGGAAUUGGAGCCUGUGCUUACAGCCCAGCCUGUGCUCCCUGGGACCCUCAGGACCAGCAACUGGGACCAGCAGACACGGCCAAAGGCAAUUCAGGGCAGGAUCCUGCCAUACAAGGGUUUACAGAGCAGGUUGAGAGCAGGGAUAAACACCAGUGGAGAAGCCCCUCGAAGUGUCCUUGGUGUAAGCACACACCUGUGACUCUGCAGUGUCUGUUCCUCCUCUGCAUCAUCCCAGCCACACUUAGGAAGCCAGCAGCAAUAAAGACCUAUUUUGCAAGAGAAGUGAAAACACCCACCUUGGUUUCCUGGCUCAAUCUGCUUUUUCAGAGCAUCCUGUGGCUCCCAUCUAGGUGUACUGCAGAGUCAUCAGGAGGAAAUCCUCCCAUCCCUGGCCAGGUGAGAGCCUGCAGACAUUGGGGGGUGGCUGAACACAUCUUCCCCUGCAUCUCCAGCCUCUGACACUCCACCAAACCAGCUAUGACACAGAGAAUACUCAGCUACCCAAGCACUGGAUGAGUAAACCAGAGAGCUUUCUAGGCAGCACCUCCCAAGAACUCAAGCCUCAGUCUCUGGAUCACAGCAGGUGGGACAGAGAGGUGCUGAGAGGGAGACACACCUUUACAGGGGACAUUUUCAUUUCAGCAUCUUGAAUGGGAACAUAUUUCCAGCCAUUACCUUGCAGUCCUUGCACUCCUCUGUGCACCUCACCCCACCACACACCCACCCCACGGCUGGUUUAGGGUUUUCUUAGAGCAACACCUGGUUCUUAGAGGUUUCAGCUGGAUUUGGUAGAAGCUGAGAGCUCCCUUCCCCAUAGACAGUGCAAUCCAAUAUCAAUUUUAUAUGAAAAGAACACCUCAGUGAUUUUCUACUGCAAAGUGUUUGUGUUUUGAGACACCUGAAUAUAUACUCAGCAAAGGAAAGAAGGAAUCCAUUA